GAUGAACGCUGGCGGCGUGCUUAACACAUGCAAGUCGAACGGAAAGGCCGAAGCUUGCUUCGGUACUCGAGUGGCGAACGGGUGAGUAACACGUGGGUGAUCUGCCCUGUACUUCGGGAUAAGCUUGGGAAACUGGGUCUAAUACCGGAUAUGACGAUCUCUUGGAUGGGGUUGUGGGAAGCUUUUGCGGUAUGGGAUGAGCUCGCGGCCUAUCAGCUUGUUGGUGGGGUAAUGGCCUACCAAGGCGUCGACGGGUAGCCGGCCUGAGAGGGUGUACGGCCACAUUGGGACUGAGAUACGGCCCAGACUCCUACGGGAGGCAGCAGUGGGGAAUAUUGCACAAUGGGCGCAAGCCUGAUGCAGCGACGCCGCGUGGGGGAUGACGGCCUUCGGGUUGUAAACUCCUUUCGCAAUCGACGAAGCCUUUUGGUGACGGUAGGUUGAGAAGAAGCACCGGCUAACUACGUG
rnacentral:rRNA from 1 species